rnacentral:lncRNA from 1 species
CUUAGUCUGUUGCCCAGGAUGGAAUGCAGUAGUGUGAUUACACCUAACUUCAGCCUGAAACUCCUGGGGUCAAGUUAUCCCCCGACCUCAUCAUCCCAAGUAAUGGGGACUACAGAGUUUAGGAUGCUUCAAGGGAAAGAUGAACCGGGGAACCGCCACCGUGACUAUUUCUCAUCUACAUAUCCACCCCCCGAAGUUCUUAAGGUGGAGCGGAAUUCAUUUUAUUUGCAAAUGUGGAAGGCAUUAUAAAAACCGUGAAUGAUGCCCCCUCCCAUGAGGGAUACAGGGAGAGCCACGUGAAGAGGAUGUUGGGCUUCUUCAAGCUGGCAGGGCACUGAGCUGACUGUCCACCACACUCACCAGGGGCCUUUGUGCAUCCCGUGGGGCAGCUCUGGGAAAGGAGGGCCAGAAAGGAUGGGCUUUCCCUUUUCCUCGUGGCAGAAACUUCCCUGACUUCAUAGCUGGGUUCCCCCUAUCCACAGUUUACAGUACAACUAUCUCCUCCAAGUUGGCCAGCAUUGCCUCUGAUACGUGAACAAGAAGUAUUUGGAGGGUUAAUAAAUACAAAUCAACACAUAUACACAUGAAGAGAAAAUGGAUGUAAUAACCAAGGACUGCCUGAUAUGCGGGAACUGAAGCUCAGAAAGGCAAAACAACUUUUCAUGCUCUUCUACCUAAUAAGUCGGAGAACCAAGAUUCAAAUUCUAAAUGCGGGUCUGAUUGAGGCCAAGCAGGAAACCUGUGCCCCAGCACCUGUCUGCUUCUGUCAUGGGGUUGUACUCCAGGAACCAUCGUGCACCUGGCAGCCCUCUCACCCUGCAGGCAGCGAGCCCGGGGAGCCAUAAAGAACUUCUUUUAGAAUGGAUUCACUGACUGAAAUCACGCUUUGGGUAAUUUUUUCUCUGUAGCAAGGCACUUGAAUGUCAUCUUUAAGAUCCAUUGAAUCUAAUAAAUACUGUCUGGAAGUCAUAUACGUACAACUGAAUCUUCCCAGUAUAGGGAGAAUUGGACAGAAUGAGGGUUCAACCUUCUCCUAAUCUUGACUUUGUCAUCCCCUGUAUGACCUUGGCCAGUUUCUUUAACCUCUCUGGGCCUCAGUGUUUGUACAACGGUGCAACUACUGCUAAUGCUACUACUACAACUAGCACCAAUUCAUACUGUGAGAGUCAGAUGAGAUAAGAUGAAUAAAAGUGUUUAAAAAAUAUAAGUAUUGGCUGGGUGUGGUGGCUCACAC